rnacentral:tRNA from 1 species
GCCGAAGUGGCGGAAUUGGCAGACGCGCACGGUUCAGGGCCGUGUCUGAGAAAUCAGGUGUGGGUCCAACUCCCACCUUCGGCA